GAUAACCCCACAUAUUCAUGAUCUGGCCUCAAAUCAGGUAGGGCUACCCGCUGAACUUAAGCAUAUCAAUAAGCGGAGGAAAAGAAACUAACUAGGAUUCCCUUAGUAACGGCGAGUGAACCGGGAUGAGCUCAAAUUUAAAAUCUGGCGUCUUUCAGGCGUCCGAGUUGUAAUCUAUAGAGGCGUUUUCCGCGCCGGACCGCGUCCAAGUCUCUUGGAAUAGAGUAUCAAAGAGGGUGACAAUCCCGUACUUGACGCGACAACCGGUGCUCUGUGAUACGUUCUCAAUGAGUCGAGUUGUUUGGGAAUGCAGCUCUAAAUGGGUGGUAAAUUCCAUCUAAGGCUAAAUAUUGGCGAGAGACCGAUAGCGAACAAGUACCGUGAGGGAAAGAUGAAAAGCACUUUGGAAAGAGAGUUAAACAGCACGUGAAAUUGUUAAAAGGGAAACGAUUGAAGUCAGUCGUGUGAAAGGUAUUCAGCCGUCUCUGGCGGUGUAUUUGCCUUUCACGGGUCAACAUCAGUUUGAUCCGGUAGAAAAAGGCGGGAGGAAGGUGGCACCCUCGGGUGUGUUAUAGCCUCCUGUCAUAUGUGCCGGACCAGACUGAGGAACGCAGCUUGCCGCAAGGCCGGGGUUCGCCCACGUACAAGCUUAGGAUGUUGACAUAAUGGCUUUAAACGACCCGUCUUGAAACACGGACCAAGGAGUCUAACAUAUCUGCGAGUGUUUG
rnacentral:rRNA from 1 species